rnacentral:rRNA from 1 species
UACAGAGGGGGCAAGCGUUGUUCGGAAUUACUGGGCGUAAAGGGCGCGUAGGCGGCCACCUAAGUCAGACGUGAAAUCCCUCGGCUCAACCGGGGAACUGCGCCUGAUACUGGGCGGCUUGAAUUCGGGAGAGGGAUGCGGAAUUCCAGGUGUAGCGGUGAAAUGCGUAGAUAUCUGGAGGAACACCGGUGGCGAAGGCGGCAUCCUGGACCGAGAUUGACGCUGAGGCGCGAAAGCCAGGGGAGCAAACGGG